AUACAUAGCNUAAGGAGGCGAACCGGGGGAACUGAAACAUCUAAGUACCCCGAGGAAAAGAAAUCAACCGAGAUUCCGAAAGUAGCGGCGAGCGAAAUUGGACUAGCCCUUAAGCUUUACACGCGUUAGACGAACGGUCUGGAAAGUCCGACGAUACAGGGUGAUAGUCCCGUAGUUGACGACGUGUGUUCAGUGAAAUCGAGUAGGGCGGGACACGUGAUAUCCUGUCUGAAUAUGGGGGGACCAUCCUCCAAGGCUAAAUACUACUGACUGACCGAUAGUGAACCAGUACCGUGAGGGAAAGGCGAAAAGAACCCCUGUGAGGGGAGUGAAAUAGAACCUGAAACCGUGUACGUACAAGCAGUAGGAGCAGGCUUUGUCCUGUGACUGCGUACCUUUUGUAUAAUGGGUCAGC
rnacentral:rRNA from 1 species